rnacentral:rRNA from 1 species
GAUGAACGCUGGCGGCGUGCCUAAUACAUGCCAGUCGAGCGAACGGACGAGAAGCUUGCUUCUCUGAUGUUAGCGGCGGACGGGUGAGUAACACGUGGAUAACCUACCUAUAAGACUGGGAUAACUUCGGGAAACCGGAGCUAAUACCGGAUAAUAUUUUGAACCGCAUGGUUCAAAAGUGAAAGACGGUCUUGCUGUCACUUAUAGAUGGAUCCGCGCUGCAUUAGCUAGUUGGUAAGGUAACGGCUUACCAAGGCAACGAUGCAUAUCCGACCUGAGAGGGUGAUCGGCCACACUGGAACUGAGACACGGUCCAGGCUCCUACGGGAGGCAGCAGUAGGGAAUCUUCCGCAAUGGGCGAAAGCCUGACGGAGCAACGCCGCGUGAGUGAUGAAGGUCUUCGGAUCGUAAAACUCUGUUAUUAGGGAAGAACAUAUGUGUAAGUAACUGUGCACAUCUUGACGGUACCUAAUCAGAAAGCCACGGCUAACUACGUG